rnacentral:lncRNA from 1 species
CCAACCCCCUCCCCAUGCCCGGUCUGGUCCUGUCCCCGCGGCCCGCGCAGCGGGCGCCGCCGCCCCCGCUGAGGAUCUCCUCCUCGGCCGCCUGGAGGCCACGUUGUGAAACGCCCUGGACUCAGCCCUCCCGCGCCCCCACGGACGGACCAGGACACCGAGGCCGAGAGCUCAGCCAGGAGCCCACGGGCGCCAGCUGCUUCUUGGGCACAGUGGCUCUUCCCGCCCUCGGCGCGCGGGGUCGGCCGGAAAAGAAGAGGCUCGGGUGUCACCUCCACCUUUGACAUAGAGCCAAGCAGCCUGGCCUUGCUGUGCCUCACUUUCCGCCCCCCCACCCACAGCAUGCGUCACUCACUCGUCUUAAACCUCCUGUUCGCCGCGUUGGUGGCCUUUGCAUGUGUCCACCGUGCGUCCUCAGCCUCCGCUCAAACCUGUCCGUGGCAUUGCCUUAGUCUCAGGUGACUUCCGAGGCUGUGGUGCCCAGGCCCUGCCCCCAACCCUGUCACCCAGGCCUCCCGAGGCCCUGGCCCGAGCUGUGCCCCCUGGACCGCCCUUCCCGGGUCCAGCCAUGCCCUCGGCCUCUCCAUUAGUGCUUUCUCACCCCGGUCUGCCUCAGCCUCAUGUUAACAGCUUUCUUUCCUUUUCUUCUUUGUAAGCGUUUUAUUCAAGAAUAACACGGAGACGUUGAAGAGCCUGAAUCCCGAGUGUGCAGCUCUCGAUACAUUUUCACAAAGUUAACACACCCACCUCUCCAGCACCCAGAUAAGAGGGAGGACAUCGCAGCCCCUCUCUCCCAGUGGAGCUCGCUUGCAGGCUCAGCGUUUUGAAUUGAUGAUUGAUGAUUACAGGAUAGGCCCCCUGCCUGUCAUGUAGCUGCUCAACAAGCUGCAGGGUCCAUGGCUUGCAUUAAUAGAGGUGUAGACUCCAGGAUGAAGGAGAUGAUUUCCCUCCUCAUUCUGGGCUGGUCAGAGCAGGCAGGCAGCUCCCCCUGCCACUUUGCAACGGGGCAGGCAGACGGCAGAGGGUUCAGGGAGGAUCACCGUGGUGUGUGUGUCUCUGUGUGUGUGUGUGCGUGUGCAUGUGCACACUUCUGAGUGGUGCCCUGGGAGAAAGCACUGGAGGCUUUAGGCGUUUGACCUGGAGACGGACAGCCCCGGGUCCCUGUCACCUGCUCCGGUGGCUGGAUGGCAGGGCAGGGUCUGAGGGAGGCACCGUCUCACCAGCCAGUUUCUAGGCUACGAGCAGGCUGCUUUGAAUGGUACUGAGCAUCCCGUCAGGACAGAGAGGCCCGCCCAAUGCAUCCUCGGCAGCAGGCUGGGCAGGACAGCAUGGUCCUGCCUCUUACCCGCCCCAGGCCUUGCAGAGAGGGACUGAGGAGAGCUGCAGGGGACAUGUGGCCAAGCUGAGACCUUUCUCGGGGGGAGAUGGAAGCCCAGAGCUGGACAGUGACCUCCCACGGUCAUUUGUCCCAAACUGGCUUUCCAGGCACAGGCCUGGCUUGGAGCUUGGGCUUUGGGUGGAGUUCAGGUUGGGUUAUAUCUGGCAUGGCCGUUCCCUCUCGCCGGCUGCAGCUGCCUGGGGUGGGGACGGUGGGGCAUGCUCCACCAGCCGCACUGGCAAGCGGCUGCAGGUGCUGGGCCGGCCAUUUACAUAGCCACGCUUGGCCUCCCCCGCCUGGCGGCCGGCCUGCCCCCUGGCCUCUCACCAGGAAAGGGCCAGGGCUUCUGAGCGCGGGAGCCGGCUCGGAGCCCUGUAAUCUUGGCGUAGUUUUAUUUCACUUCUGCGUUUCACUUUUACUGGUCUCGGCUGAAGGAUGCAUGUUAGUCAGCCCCGAGAGAAGUUAGUGUGUGCUGUGCCAGCUGGGGUGGGGGCGGGUGAGUGGGCAGACCCAGGUCUGAGUCCCAAGCCACUGCUGGGCGUGUGACCCCUGGAGCCACACUCCACCCCCUGAGCCUCCUGUGAUGUGCACGGGGUGCGGGAGGAGACCCGGGGCCUCGGUUUUGAUGCGGGCCUGCCUCUGUCCUGCUGUGUGGCCUCAGGCAAGUCCCUUCCCCUCUCUGGGCCUCAAUUCUCUCCUCUGUAAAAUGGAAUAACCACAGUCACAUCCUUGCAACGCUGUCUCUCUGAUCCGACACUGGCGCAGGGUCUGGCUGAGUGCUUGUCCAGCGGGCUGUUUCGGGCUGGGCGAGGUGAGGAGGCCUGAGGGUGGAGGGGCUGGAGCAGUUGUAUGUCCUUGAACUUGAGAAACCUGAGCUUGUGUAGGGAUUUCAUCAUGAGGCUGGACGAAAUGCAGAUUCCUGGGCCUGCCCGGGCAUCUGCGGGAGCCACGUCAGGCCCAGAAACUUCAGGGAAAUCUCUGGGGCCCGUGGGUGCGUUUGGUGUCAAGUCUGUGUUUCUCAGGACACGACCAGGGAAGGGCUGUGGAGAGGGGGAAACUGAGGCACAGAGGUGCAGCCAGUUCCCAGGGGGGCUCAGCAAGCCAGUGCUGCGCCAGGAUUGAGUGGGGUAGGCCCGAUCCAGACCGGUGCCCCAGCACGCGGCGGCCCUCGGCGGCUCUGCCCAGAGCCCGGGUGCUGCCUCCCAGGGCCGCGGGCUCCCCCCGGGAGUGGCUCGGGGCUGAGCCGGGUUUAUAUAGGGCCUCCCAAAAUAUCUGGCCGCCCAUAGGCCGAGGCUGGCGAGGGCGCGGCUGGCCAGCGCCGCGGCUUCCUGUCCUGCCAAGAUGUUUCCUGCCGAUAGCCGGGCCAGCGGCCUUAUCUGUGACCUCGGGCCGCUGUGAGGACAGCCCCCCUGCCAAGGGACAGGCUGUUCUGGCCCAGGCAGGGGCUGCAGGGACCCUGGAGGGUCAGGGCGAGCAGCCCACUGGGGGUGGGGGUCAUUUGGUCAACACAUGACUUUUAGGAAGGAGCACUGUGCUCAGAGUCCAGCUGCCCCAGAGUUGAGCUGCGGCUCUGGGGCCAAAUGGCUACCUGUCUCUGGGGAGCAGGGCCCCUCUCAAAGUGCCCCUCGCCCAUCAAGUGGGGACAGUGGCAUCUCCAUUUUCCUUCAACUCUCCCCACCCCUAGCCCCUCAAGGAGCCCCAGUCUGCAGGAGACGAGCUGGCCACGCAUGCCCCCAGCCCCGCAGCGCCAGGGCUUGGCUGGAGGGAAGGCAGAGGUGGGAGGAAUCCAGGUGUCUGUAUGGAGCAGCUGCCUGGAGAAGGGAUGUCACAGCUGGGGUUUAAUGGUUAUGUAGGAGCUCACCAGGCAGAACUCGUGGAGGGGAUGGCCAGGCUGAGGGAACAGUGUCUGUGAAUGCUUGGAGUCCAAGUGCCACUCUCAUUUCACAGAGAAAGACACUGAGGUUUUCAGAGGAGGUGAUGCCGUGGCUCUGAAACCUGGCUCUUUCUUCCCCUGUACCCACUGACGGGGACCUGAGCUCCUGGAAGGGGACAUGUACCCUCCCCAUUGUGACCCUGGGAUCUGGAGAACAAUUUUAAAUUUCAAAAUUGCUUUUAUUGCAGCCCAAACAGUGGAAUUAACUCUACGUAAUAAUGAGGUCACCGACCUCAACGGCUUCGCAAUGAACCGCGACCCUGAGAUGAGCUGUUCUCUUCCUGGAUGUGAGCAAACUGGAACUUUGUUAGUAGCUGAGCGCUGCCUCCGUGGCCCCGCGGUCGGAGGAUGUGGCCGCGCGACAGAGGGACUCGGAGGCACGCACCUCGGUGUCCGCAGCAGCAUGACUCCCAGGAGCCGGAAAGCAGACACGGCCGGAGGGUCCGCUGACAGGUGAUGGAUAAACCAACUGUGGUCCAUCCCGAGGGACUAGCACUCGGUCAUAACAAAGACCACAGCCCUGACACGCGCUUCACAGUGGACGAACCUCACGGCCUCACGCUGAGUGAGAGAAGCUGACACAGAAGGCCUCAUGUGAUCCCAUAGGGGAAAGGUCCAGAACAGGCAGAUCCACAGACAGA